UCUGCUCCAUGUGUAUCGUCUUCUCCAGCGGCGCAUGAGAAUAGGAAGGAAGCAAAGCAAUGGCGAUCCUUCUCCGUCUCCUCCUCCUAACGAUGGAUCUAACGCUCGCCGGGAUCUCCCUCGCGUUUGCUUUCGUGAUCUUCGCCUUCGUCGCCGCUGUUCUCUGCUCCGCCGCCUUCAUCCACAACGCCAAGGCGCUCCCCCUUUAGCCCUGAUUCUGCGUGCCUCCUUUUCAUUCGGUUGAUAGAUCAAAGAGCAGAGUGGUUUGAUGGACUCAGAAUUCCGAUACCAGAACAAUGAUAAAAUCCAAGCUCCUGUGUCUGACAUUCGGUCCAACUAGUCUUGGAGGUGCACAACCCGAUCCCCCACCAAGCAAGUCUGGAAGUGUGAGCGGCUCCUCGUCCAAUAACCAACGUCCCAGAUUUUUUAUCCCAUUGAAAGAAAAUGCCUUUUAAUAUGCUGGAGUUGGGAUUCGAACCAAGAGUGCUUGGAAAUUGCUUGAGCGCUUUAACGUUGCACUAUGGCCUGGGGCUUGCCAAGACACUUUAUGAUCCUUGUUUUGGUGCAACAAUUUUGAGUUUAAGUAUCAUUCUCAAAUUUAAGAUAAUUCCACACUGUAUCCAAAUGUUAAGAAUAUCCA